rnacentral:rRNA from 1 species
AUUGAACGCUGGCGGCAUGCCUUACACAUGCAAGUCGAACGGCAGCACGGGAGCAAUCCUGGUGGCGAGUGGCGAACGGGUGAGUAAUAUAUCGGAACGUGCCCAGUCGUGGGGGAUAACGUAGCGAAAGCUACGCUAAUACCGCAUACGAUCUAUGGAUGAAAGCGGGGGAUCGCAAGACCUCGUGCGAUUGGAGCGGCCGAUAUCAGAUUAGGUAGUUGGUGAGGUAAAGGCUCACCAAGCCGACGAUCUGUAGCUGGUCUGAGAGGACGACCAGCCACACUGGGACUGAGACACGGCCCAGACUCCUACGGGAGGCAGCAGUGGGGAAUUUUGGACAAUGGGCGCAAGCCUGAUCCAGCAAUGCCGCGUGCAGGAUGAAGGCCUUCGGGUUGUAAACUGCUUUUGUACGGAACGAAACGGUGAGCUCUAAUACAGUUUGCUAAUGACGGUACCGUAAGAAUAAGCACCGGCUAACUACGUG